UUAAUAAAGAAAAGAAAAUAUAAAAAAAUUACAAUUUCUAACGUGGUGCUGAUGUGGCAGCGAGUAUAACAUACCAUAUACUAUGAGAGUGGUGCUAUGCUUCUCAAGGUGGUAUUAAAUUUGUUGACACCCAUUUUGUACCCAGCCUAUUCCUUUACCUACUUAGGCCCAACAUCCAUCCCAUUUCUAUUACUAAUCCUGGCCCCACCCCUCUUAAUUUUCAGCCCAACUCCCCUCCAGCCCAACACACUUCAGCAGCCCACCCUUUCAAGCAACCCAAACAAUCCCAGGCCCAUCCCAAUAACCCCUUAACCUGACCCCAUCCCAACUCCCCUUCUUCUUCCCAACAUCCACACCACCAGAAAACGCAGAAAAGAGCAGAACCCAAAAACGCAAAACCCCUCUCUCACCCGCGUCUUCCCCCACGCUCUCUCCCCCUCUCCCAAACCCCCUCCCUCGCGCGAACCCAACGUGAGCCAAUCGCGUACGCUUCUCUCUCCCUCGCGCAGAAACCCCCUAGACGCAAACGCAGGAGAGACAGAACCUCCCAGACGCGAAAUUAAUUCCCCAGAAAUCGUCAAAAUUCCCAAAACUCACGCGCAAGGAGUUCUCAGAAGAUGCCCAGCCUGGUUUGUCUUCUUCUUCGCGUGUCCCCGACGUCGCGCGUCUCCUUCCCUCUCUCUUCGCGCUCGUACGAGCGCACAGUGGAACAGUAGCCGUCCUCGCCUCAACAGCCUGGAAUCGUCCUGCUCGUCCUUGCAACAACGAGAUGAUGACACGAAGCGCGCAAGGACAACGAACGCAUCCCGACCCUCCACCUCGCCAUCAACCCGUUUGAAUGGGAUAUUCUGAAGCAUCUAAUCGGUACAUUCCAAAAUUUCGGAUAAGAUUUUGGGAUUUUUGAAUUUCGAAUUAGCAGAUGGGCCGAAAAUUCCCUCAAGCCCUUUUACCUUUCGAAAACCUAGCCUCCCUCUAUAAAUAUCCUCUCCCUCAAACGUUGAGGGGGUUGAAAAUUUUGGAAGUCGAAUUUUUGUUUGGAUUUUUUUCUUGUAUCACAGCAGGUCCUUUCCUUUCUGGAAAUUUUGGUUGUUUCUAAGUUCAUAUCGUAUAACAAAGCAAGUGUCCCGUCUCUCUUUUUUCGAAUUUUCUAUCGAGCUUCGAACGUGGAGAUAUUUGGAUCUACACAGUCUCUUUGCUUUUCAUCGCAUCUGUACUGCUCAUUGGAGCUCUUAAACUCGCGUCGUGGUGGAAGUCAUUGUUGAAGUCGCUGCUCGUAGCCGUUCCAGUAUCGCUGCCCAGGAAAAGGUAUACAACUUCGCUCCUCUUAGUUUUGUUUGGUUUUCUACUUGUUCGAGUAUGUAGUGGUUCGUUCAGUUGGUUAUGUCGUGCUGAUAGUUUUCUGAAGGAUGAUGGUUCUUUGUGUUUUAAGGCUGUUGGUUAGUUGUCUAUGGAAUAGGAGAUAAGCAUGUACGUGCAGUCAAUGUAUGUCUCGAGUUUACUUCCUAGUUCGAAUCUUAUUGUUCUUGGUAUAUUUUGGGUUUCAUAGCUACAUUCGGUAUAGUUUUUUUUAGAUCAUUCUUUCAUCUUGAUUUAUUUUUAUUCAUUGUGGUUCUUCAAUAUUGUUUGAUAUUCGGCAUCGUAUCGUUAUUUCUUUCGCCUCGAGUUUAAUGAGCGAACUAAGAUGCCAACAUUCUGAAUCUAAGCGACUGCAUCUGCUAUCGUUUUGAGUUCCCAUAUCGCAUAUUAUUGUUCAUGUUGGUACUUUGGGUUAGGCUGUCCUAUAGGGUUUGCUCGAUAAUGGUAUUACCUUCUGUUUGAUCUCUUAAUGUUGUAAAGUUGAGUUUCUUUCCGUUGAUUUAGAUUUCAUUUGUUUAUCCAUCAAGCCUUCAAAUAGGCCUUUGUCAGUAUGUUUUGUGGUUUCUCUGAACUUGUCGGUUAAGAAAGUAUGUUUGUUCAUAUGUGUUCUGUAUCUAUGUUAUAUAGUAAUUUCCUCGUUUUAUUUCUUCCAUAUGACAAAUGAGUCAGUUUGCUUAUUCGGAAUCUCGUUUAGAGUCCUGUUUGGUCCCGUUUCUGUUGUGCUCGCUAUCAUUCUUUAUGUUGGAGCUUUGGUAGUCUGUGUUGUUUCUUGCAACUACUCACUACGGAAUACCAACUAGGCUUGUUCAAUGCCUUGUUUGGCUCCUUUGAGUUUGGCGUUUAUCGCUUUCAAAUUAUAAGUGAGUUUGAACUAUCUGUGGCUCGGGUCAGAUUCUCAUGUUUAUUUGGUUUGGUUUAGACUUUUGAAGAUCUCACCUGAUGUUGGUAGCAAAAUUUUACGUAUAGUUGAGGAUGAAAGAGCAUAGUUGUCAAUUUGGUGAUUUGAGCUACUGUUUGUUUGCUACUUCAGCAUGAUGCAAAUCCCUGAAUGUUAAUUUAUUCACGUUCUGGAAUGUUUCAUUAUUUGCUGUUUGUAUUUGGUAUGGCUUUUGCAUGUUGGGAAAAUCUAAUGACUCUUAAAAGUUAGUGUGUUUGCUAAUCUAUUCGGCUUUCUUCAGAAUCGUAUGUUUAUUUAUUUUGUUUCAUUCGAAAUACAUCUGAUUUAUUUUGUCGUUGUGUAUACAACUUCGCUCCUCUUAGUUUUGUUUGGUUUUCUACUUAUUCGAGUAUGUAGUGGUUUGUUCAGUUGGUUAUGUCGUGCUGAUAGUUUUCUGAAGGAUGAUGGUUCUUUGUGUUUUAAGGCUGUUGGUUAGUUGUAUAUGGAAUAGGAGAUAAGCAUGUACGUGCAAUCAAUGUAUGUCUCGAGUUUACUUCCUAGUUCAAAUCUUGUUUUUCUUGGUAUAUUUCGGGUUUCAUAGCUAUAUUUGGUAUAGUUUUUUUUAGAUCAUUCUUUCAUCUUGAUUUAUUUUUAUUCAUUGUGGUUCUUCAAUAUUGUUUGAUAUUCGGCAUCGUAUUGUUAUUUCUUUCGCCUCGAGUUUAAUGAGCGAACUAAGAUGCCAACAUUCUGAAUCUAAGCGACUGCAUCUGCUAUCGUUUUGAGUUCCCAUAUCGCAUAUUAUUGUUCAUGUUGGUACUUUGGGUUAGGCUGUCCUAUAGGGUUUGCUCGAUAAUGGUAUUACCUUCUGUUUGAUCUCUUAAUGUUGUAAAGUUGAGUUUCUUUCCGUUGAUUUAGAUUUCAUUUGUUUAUCCAUCAAGCCUUCAAAUAGGCCUUUGUCAGUAUGUUUUGUGGUUUCUCUGAACUUGUCGGUUAAGAAAGUAUGUUUGUUCAUAUGUGUUCUGUAUCUAUGUUAUAUAGUAAUUUCCUCGUUUUAUUUCUUCCAUAUGACAAAUGAGUCAGUUUGCUUAUUCGGAAUCUCGUUUAGAGUCCUGUUUGGUCCCGUUUCUGUUGUGCUCGCUAUCAUUCUUUAUGUUGGAGCUUUGGUAGUCUGUGUUGUUUCUUGCAACUACUCACUACGGAAUACCAACUAGGCUUGUUCAAUGCCUUGUUUGGCUCCUUUGAGUUUGGCGUUUAUCGCUUUCAAAUUAUAAGUGAGUUUGAACUAUCUGUGGCUCGGGUCAGAUUCUCAUGUUUAUUUGGUUUGGUUUAGACUUUUGAAGAUCUCACCUGAUGUUGGUAGCAAAAUUUUACGUAUAGUUGAGGAUGAAAGAGCAUAGUUGUCAAUUUGGUGAUUUGAGCUACUGUUUGUUUGCUACUUCAGCAUGAUGCAAAUCCCUGAAUGUUAAUUUAUUCACGUUCUGGAAUGUUUCAUUAUUUGCUGUUUGUAUUUGGUAUGGCUUUUGCAUGUUGGGAAAAUCUAAUGACUCUUAAAAGUUAGUGUGUUUGCUAAUCUAUUCGGCUUUCUUCAGAAUCGUAUGUUUAUUUAUUUUGUUUCAUUCGAAAUACAUCUGAUUUAUUUUGUCGUUGUGUAUGCUAAUGUAUUUCUACUUGUUUGCAUGGAAAAUCUUCUCUCGAGUCCAUUGUGAGGCUCCCCUUCUCCUCUUUGCAUUUCAAGAGGGAGCCAUAAAGGCUCUAAAUGUCUUUCAUCGAGUCAAUUCAUCAAAACCGGCGUAUGAAGUUAAAUUCAGAAGUGUCGUGAAGAGUGAAGAGAUUUGAAGGAGACGGAUAUGAAGACCUUUUCUUUAUUUUUAUGUUAUAUUUUACUUUGUAAUGGGCAUAAGCUCUUGUCCUUUUUAUCUUUCUUGUAACCAUUUAUGUGUUUAGAUUAGGACAGGUGAACGGGUUAAAAACCCAAAAGCAGGUGGGUCCAACAUUCGGUCAAGGCGGACAGAACCGAAGUUGGACCCAAAUCUCUCCCUCUC